rnacentral:rRNA from 1 species
GACGAACGCUGGCGGCGUGCCUAAUACAUGCAAGUCGAACGCUUCUUUCCUCCCGAGUGCUUGCACUCAAUUGGAAAGAGGAGUGGCGGACGGGUGAGUAACACGUGGGUAACCUACCCAUCAGAGGGGUAUGACACUUGGAAACAGGUGCUAAUACCGCAUAACAGUUUAUGCCGCAUGGCAUAAGAGUGAAAGGCGCUUUCGGGUGUCGCUGAUGGAUGGACCCGCGGUGCAUUAGCUAGUUGGUGAGGUAACGGCUCACCAAGGCCACGAUGCAUAGCCGACCUGAGAGGGUGAUCGGCCACACUGGGACUGAGACACGGCCCAGACUCCUACGGGAGGCAGCAGUAGGGAAUCUUCGGCAAUGGACGAAAGUCUGACCGAGCAACGCCGCGUGAGUGAAGAAGGUUUUCGGAUCGUAAAACUCUGUUGUUAGAGAAGAACAAGGACGUUAGUAACUGAACGUCCCCUGACGGUAUCUAAACAGAAAGCCACGGCUAACUACGUG